UAUAAAAUAGUAUAGUAAGUACAUAGAGUUUUGAUCUCUGGGGGAGAAGUUUGUUCUUCUUUUUAUAG
rnacentral:tRNA from 1 species